UUCUUACACUCUUUAGUCUCAAAUUUCUAUUCUCAAAUGUCCAACACUCUCUUUUGAUAUAUGUUCUUCUACAACUCAAGCUAAACUUUGAUUUACCCAUUCCUCCUAGCGACUAGCAUAGAGGUCGAGUCAUCACCCUGCAAGAUUUUAAUGAAGAACAUAUUCAAAAGGAGUGUGUAACGAAAAGGCCAAAAUGGGAAAGUCCGAAAGGAGAAAUGUUGGAGAAUGUUGUAAGGAACAGAGAAUCUUGGAAAUGUGCCAUUUAUAUUUUGGUUGAGUGUAGCAUGUGUGACGACGAAUUAAUAUGCUCGUAAGAUUUAUAUGAUAAGAUGUAAAUAUUUGUAGGGUGUGACUGACACAUGACCGCCGGUAGAAGAUGUAUAGGUAGCCCUGGGCGUUCGGAUUUUCGGUUCGGAUUAUUCGGAGUUCGGAUGUUUCGGAUUGGGAUGUUUAUAAACCGUUUUGAAUCCGACUGGUUUUCGGAUCGGAUCGGAUCGGAUUUUUUCGGAUUCGGAUCGGUUUUCAAAUUUUAAAAAACAUCCGAUAAGAAACCGAAUCCUAUUUGUUUCGGUUUCGGUUUCGGAUUUUACACUGUUAA